rnacentral:rRNA from 1 species
CUUACCAUGCAGUCGAACGGCAGCACGGGGGCAACCCUGGUGGCGAGUGGCGAACGGGUGAGUAAUACAUCGGAACGUGUCCUGGAGUGGGGGAUAGCCCGGCGAAAGCCGGAUUAAUACCGCAUACGCUCUGAGGAGGAAAGGGGGGGAUCUUAGGACCUCUCGCUUUAGGGGCGGCCGAUGGCAGAUUAGCUAGUUGGUGGGGUAAAGGCCUACCAAGGCGACGAUCUGUAGCUGGUCUGAGAGGACGACCAGCCACACUGGGACUGAGACACGGCCCAGACUCCUACGGGAGGCAGCAGUGGGGAAUUUUGGACAAUGGGGGCAACCCUGAUCCAGCAAUGCCGCGUGUGUGAAGAAGGCCUUCGGGUUGUAAAGCACUUUUGUCCGGAAAGAAAUCAUCCUGGCUAAUAUCCGGGGUGGAUGACGGUACCGGAAGAAUAAGCACCGGCUAACUACGUGCCAGCAGCCGCGGUAAUACGUAGGGUGCAAGCGUUAAUCGGAAUUACUGGGCGUAAAGCGUGCGCAGGCGGUUCGCUAAGACAGAUGUGAAAUCCCCGGGCUUAACCUGGGAACUGCAUUUGUGACUGGCGGGCUAGAGUAUGGCAGAGGGGGGUAGAAUUCCACGUGUAGCAGUGAAAUGCGUAGAGAUGUGGAGGAAUACCGAUGGCGAAGGCAGCCCCCUGGGCCAAUACUGACGCUCAUGCACGAAAGCGUGGGGAGCAAACAGGAUUAGAUACCCUGGUAGUCCACGCCCUAAACGAUGUCAACUAGUUGUCGGGUCUUCAUUGACUUGGUAACGAAGCUAACGCGUGAAGUUGACCGCCUGGGGAGUACGGUCGCAAGAUUAAAACUCAAAGGAAUUGACGGGGACCCGCACAAGCGGUGGAUGAUGUGGAUUAAUUCGAUGCAACGCGAAAAACCUUACCUACCCUUGACAUGGUCAGGACCCUGCUGAAAGGUGGGGGUGCCCGAAAGGGAACUGAUACACA